rnacentral:rRNA from 1 species
ACGCUCGACACCUACGGGAGCAGCAGUGGGGAAUAUUGCACAAUGGGGGAAACCCUGAUGCAGCGACGCCGCGUGAAGGAAGAAGUAUCUCGGUAUGUAAACUUCUAUCAGCAGGGAAGAAAGUGACGGUACCUGACUAAGAAGCCCCGGCUAACUACGUGCCAACAGCCGCGGUAAUCUGAGCGGGCGUGGCAAGGC